AUGACGGCCUUCGGGUUGUAAACCUCUUUCAGUAGGGAAGAAGCGAAAGUGACGGUACCUGCAGAAGAAGCGCCGGCUAACUACGUGCCAGCAGCCGCGGUAAUACGUAGGGCGCAAGCGUUAUCCGGAAUUAUUGGGCGUAAAGAGCUCGUAGGCGGUUUGUCGCGUCUGCCGUGAAAGUCCGGGGCUCAACUCCGGAUCUGCGGUGGGUACGGGCAGGCUAGAGUGAUGUAGGGGAGACUGGAAUUCCUGGUGUAGCGGUGAAAUGCGCAGAUAUCAGGAGGAACACCGAUGGCGAAGGCAGGUCUCUGGGCAUUAACUGACGCUGAGGAGCGAAAGCAUGGGGAGCGAACAGGAUUAGAUACCCUGGUAGUCCAUGCCGUAAACGUUGGGCACUAGGUGUGGGGGACAUUCCACGUUUUCCGCGCCGUAGCUAACGCAUUAAGUGCCCCGCCUGGGGAGUACGGCCGCAAGGCUAAAACUCAAAGGAAUUGACGGGGGCCCGCACAAGCGGCGGAGCAUGCGGAUUAAUUCGAUGCAACGCGAAGAACCUUACCAAGGCUUGACAUGGACCGGACCGCCGCAGAGAUGUGGUUUCUCCUUUUGGGGCCGGUUCACAGGUGGUGCAUGGUUGUCGUCAGCUCGUGUCGUGAGAUGUUGGGUUAAGUCCCGCAACGAGCGCAACCCUCGUUCCAUGUUGCCAGCGCGUAAUGGCGGGGACUCAUGGGAGACUGCCGGGGUCAACUCGGAGGAAGGUGGGGACGACGUCAAAUCAUCAUGCCCCUUAUGUCUUGGGCUUCACGCAUGCUACAAUGGCCGGUACAAAGGGUUGCGAUACUGUGAGGUGGAGCUAAUCCCAAAAAGCCGGUCUCAGUUCGGAUUGGGGUCUGCAACUCGACCCCAUGAAGUCGGAGUCGCUAGUAAUCGCAGAUCAGCAACGCUGCGGUGAAUACGUUCCCGGGCCUUGUACACACCGCCCGUCAAGUCACGAAAGUUGGUAACACCCGAAGC
rnacentral:rRNA from 1 species